ensembl:lncRNA
GGAACAGGCUAGGGGGUGAUGAGCACAGGCAGGCGUAGAACUGCCCAGCCAGCGCCACCUCCCCACGCAGCCCCUGCAAGCAUCCCCCUGCUGCUUCCCUGCACCCCAGAGAGGUCCAGGAAAUCCCCACAGGGCAGAGAUGGAAGGCUGACGAUAGGAUCUGAAUUCUCAUCUUACACCACCACAGCAAGCCUUUCUCUGUCACUUCUGUGUCUGCCUGUCUGUCUCUCCCACUCUCCCCCUUUCUUUCUCUUUCUUUUAAUCAUUCUCCCUCUUUUCUCCUUAAUCACUUAAUUUCUCUCUUUUAAUCUCUUUUCCCCUUUCAUUGUUUUCCUCUUCAUCUUUUUUCUUCCCUCUCAAUCUCUUUCAGUCUUUUUUUUCUAUCCCUUUGUCUUUAUCCAUCUCCCUCCAUCUGUCUCUGUCUCUGUCUCUCCAUCUGUGUGUCUCUCUGUCUCUCCCUCAGUCUCUCUCUCUCUAUUUGUCUCUGUAUCUGUCUCUUUUUGUCUAUCUGUCUCUCCUUUCUUUCUCUCCUUAUUACUUGUGUGACCUUGGGUAAUCAAUCCAUCCAUCAUUCUACAAGCAUUUAUUAACCAUUUACUAUAUACUAAAUCUUGGGAAUAUAAAGAUAAAAGUGAAACAGUCCCUGCUUUCUAGGAUCUUACUUUCUAAUGAGGAAAGACAAUACAUAAAAGGACACUGGAAAGAAAAGGGAAAGGUACCUAUCUGCUGGAGGCAUGGAAAGGAGAUCGUAGGAGGCAGCUUGGUGACCUCAUUCCAAGCCAAAGGGAUUAGAUCAUUUACUCAUCAAUUGGAGAAUGGCUGAAUAAUUUAUGAUAUAUGAAGGUUAUGGAAUACUAUUGUUCUAUAAGAAAUAAUCAGCAGGAUGAUGUCAGAGAGGCCUGGAGAGACUUACAUGAAUUGAUGCUAACUGAAGUGAGAAGAACCAAGAAAUCAUUAUACAUAGCAACAGCAAGACUAUACGAUGAUCAAUUCUGAUUGGCAUGGCUCUUUCCAACAAUAAGAUGAUUCGUCACAAUUGUAGCCACCCAGAGAGAAGACAGUAGGAACUGAAUGUAGGCCACAACAUAGAAUUUUCACUCUUUUUGUUGUUGUUUGCUUGCAUUUUGUUUUCUUUCUCAUUUUUUUCAUUUUUGAUAUGAUUUUUCUUGUGCAGAAUGAUAUUUGUGAAAAUAUGUACAGAAGAAUUGCACAUGUUUAACAUAUAUUGGAUUACUUGCCAUAUAGGGGAGGGGAGGGGAGAGAAGGAAGGGAAAAAAUUAGAAUACAAAGUUUUGUAAGGAUGACUGUUGAAAAUUAUCCAUGAAUAUAUUUUGAAAAUAAAAAGCUUUAAUUUUAAAAAAGUAAUAAAUACAAAAUAAAAAAUCUUUAACUGGGUCAUAGAGCUGAGGCAAUCUGGAUUGGUUGAGAAAAUCUGCACACUGAUGGAAUCAUGGGGUGUUAAAUUGUUAAAUUAUUGAAGGAAUUUAGAAUGGAUGGUUAAAUAAAUAUUGUCUCCCUCCCUUAAAAAAUAAAUACAUAAAUAAAGGAG